UACGGAGGGGGCUAGCGUUGUUCGGAAUUACUGGGCGUAAAGCGCACGUAGGCGGCUUUGUAAGUUAGAGGUGAAAGCCCGGGGCUCAACUCCGGAACUGCCUUUAAGACUGCAUCGCUUGAAUCAUGGAGAGGUCAGUGGAAUUCCGAGUGUAGAGGUGAAAUUCGUAGAUAUUCGGAAGAACACCAGUGGCGAAGGCGACUGACUGGACAUGUAUUGACGCUGAGGUGCGAAAGCGUGGGGAGCAAACAGG
rnacentral:rRNA from 1 species